GAUGGAGGGGAGUGAUCCCUCAGCUUGGAUUGCAAGAGGGUACAGGCCAGGCCGAGGGACCCCACUGGUGCACA
rnacentral:pre_miRNA from 1 species